AAGUCGUAACAAGGUUUCCGUAGGUGAACCUGCGGAAGGAUCAUUAUUGAAAUAAAAAUUCAGGCCAGGGAAGAGGUGGUUGUAGCUGGCCCCUAGGGGCAUGUGCACACUUGUCUUUCUCUCUUGCUUGUUUUUUUUCAUUCUCUCCACUUGUGCACUGCUUGUAGGCAGUCUGGCACUGUUCAGGCUGUCUAUGAUUUUCUUUACAUACAUGAAUAUUGUUGAACAGAAUGUGAUAAUAAUAAAAAGAGUAAUACAACUUUCAACAACGGAUCUCUUGGCUCUC
rnacentral:misc_RNA from 1 species